UCUUGUACCACUCGUUCCUCACCCCCAAUUAACUUUCACCAAGCGUCAACAACCCUUUUUCCAUAAAGACAUAAAACAGAAACGAUGUCUGAUCUACUUUUCCAUUACCGGUGACUUCAUAAUCGGGCGUCCGUUCGUCAUGGUCGGUUGCCGGCUCAAUUUUUGGCCGCUCCGCCAUUGUCCAUCGACGACAAUCUCCGACCGCUCUAUUAUGAUCAAAGAUCGACACACUCUGAUCUCUGCACCAUUCUUAUGGCAGCAGACACAAACAUAUGUACUAAUCAGUUCAAUUGGUUGUGUUAUUAUUGAUUUAUUGGUAGAUAGAUAACAUGCAAGGAUGACUAAUCAUUCUCAAUCGGAGAAACAACCAUCAACACCCAUACACAACCGAUCAUCAGCCAUCACCACUGUCAAAACACAACUCAUGUUCAUUAAUAUUUUGUGUAUAUUUUUUUAGAAUGAUUGUUUUUGUUUUAUAGUUUGUAUUCUUUCAGAUGCACUUUAUUCCUAAAAAAUAUCUCAUAUUUCUUUUCAAGAAUGUAUUUUAUUUCAACAAUAUUACUAGCAUUAAUUAAGUUUUUAAUUCUUAUUGAAUAUACUUGUAUCAAAAUUUGAGAAGAUAUUAACAUUAGUUUUAUUCUUUAAUAAUAUAUGUGCUUUGUGAAAUUAUAUAUCA